CCUACGGGGGGCAGCAGUGGGGAAUAUUGCACAAUGGGGGAAACCCUGAUGCAGCGACGCCGCGUGAGUGAAGAAGUAUUUCGGUAUGUAAAGCUCUAUCAGCAGGGAAGAAAAUGACGGUACCUGACUAAGAAGCCCCGGCUAACUACGUGCCAGCAGCUGCGGUAAUACGUAGGGGGCGAGCGUGAUCCGGAUUUACUGGGUGUAAAGGGAGCGGAGACGGCAGCACAAGUCUGGAGUGAAAGGCCGGGGCUUAACCCCGGAACUGCAUUGGAAACUGUGCAGCUAGAGUGCAGGAGAGGUGAGUGGAACUCCUAGUGUAGCGGUGAAAUGCGUAGAUAUUAGGAGGAACACCAGUGGCGAAGGCGGCUUACUGGACUGUAACUGACGUUGAGGCUCGAAAGCGUGGGGAGCAAACAGGAUUAGAUACCCUGGUAGUC
rnacentral:rRNA from 1 species